UACGUAGGGUGCAAGCGUUAAUCGGAAUUACUGGGCGUAAAGCGUGCGCAGGCGGCUUUGCAAGACAGAUGUGAAAUCCCCGGGCUCAACCUGGGAACUGCAUUUGUGACUGCAUGGCUAGAGUGCGGCAGAGGGGGAUGGAAUUCCGCGUGUAGCAGUGAAAUGCGUAGAUAUGCGGAGGAACACCGAUGGCGAAGGCAAUCCCCUGGGCCUGCACUGACGGCUCAUGCACGAAAGCGUGGGGAGCAAACAGG
rnacentral:rRNA from 1 species